UGAAUACGAGAUGCUACGGCAUCGAAGCAGUCUAUGUCAUACUUCCAAGAAAAGCUUGCACUGUCAUAAACAAAUAAUGCCUGUACCAUAACCGACACAGGUGGGUAGGUAGAGUAUACUAAGGGGCGCGAGAUAACUCUCUCUAAGGAACUCGGCAAAAUGACUCCGUAACUUCGGGAGAAGGAGUGCCUUAUUUUAUAAGGUUGCAAUAACAAGAUCCAAGCAACUGUUUACCAAAAACACAGGUCUCCGCUAAGUCGUAAGACGAUGUAUGGGGGCUGACGCCUGCCCAGUGCCAGAAGGUUAAAGAAGUUGGUUAGCAUUAGCGAAGCUGAUAACUGAAGCCCUGGUGAACGGCGGCCGUAACGAUAACGGUCCUAAGGUAGCGAAAUUCCUUGUCGGGUAAGUUCCGACCCGCACGAAAGGCGUAAUGAUUUGGAUACUGUCUCGGAGAGGGGCUCGGUGAAAUAGACUUGUCUGUGAAGAUGCGGACUACCUGCACCAGGACAGAAAGACCCUAUGAAGCUUUACUGUAACUUGAGAUUGAAAUUGGACUUUAUUUGCGCAGUAUAGGUGGGAGACGUUGAAAAUAUUCUUGCGGGAAUAUUGGAGUCAUCAGUGAGAUACCACUCUUAUAAUGUUAGAUUUCUAACUUUGUAUCAUUAUCUGGUCAAAGAACAGUCUCAGGCGGGCAGUUUGACUGGGGCGGUCGCCUCCCAAACGGUAACGGAGGCGCACAAAGGUUUCCUCUGAACGUGUAGAAAUCGUAUCUAGAGUGUAAAGGCAUAAGGAAGCUUGACUGUGAGACCUACAAGUCGAGCAGGGACGAAAGUCGGUCUUAGUGAUCUGACGGUGCUGAGUGGAAAGGCCGUCACUCAACGGAUAAAAGUUACUCUAAGGAUAACAGGCUGAUCUCCCCCAAGAGUUCACAUCGACGGGGAGGUUUGGCACCUCGAUGUCGGCUCAUCGCAUCCUGGGGCGGUAGUACGUCCCAAGGGUUGGGCUGUUCGCCCAUGAAAGCGGUACGCGAGCUGGGUUCAGAACGUCGUGAGACAGUUCGGUCCAUAUCCGGUGUAGGCGUUAGAAUAUUGAGAGGAGCCUUCUUUAGUACGAGAGGACCGAGAAGGACAUACCUCUGGUGUACCAGUUAUCGUGCCAACGGUAAACGCUGGGUAGCUAUGUAUGGAGAGGAUAACCGCUGAAAGCAUCUAAGUGGGAAGCCCACCUCAAGAUAAGUAUUUUC
rnacentral:rRNA from 1 species